rnacentral:rRNA from 1 species
GAUGAACGCUGGCGGCGUGCCUAAUACAUGCAAGUCGAGCGAACAGAUGAGGAGCUUGCUCCCCUGACGUUAGCGGCGGACGGGUGAGUAACACGUGGAUAACCUACCUAUAAGACUGGGAUAACUUCGGGAAACCGGAGCUAAUACCGGAUAAUAUAUUGAACCGCAUGGUUCAAUAGUGAAAGACGGUUUUGCUGUCACUUAUAGAUGGAUCCGCGCCGCAUUAGCUAGUUGGUAAGGUAACGGCUUACCAAGGCAACGAUGCGUAGCCGACCUGAGAGGGUGAUCGGCCACACUGGAGCUGAGACACGGUCCAGACUCCUACGGGAGGCAGCAGUAGGGAAUCUUCCGCAAUGGGCGAAAGCCUGACGGAGCAACGCCGCGUGAGUGAUGAAGGUCUUCGGAUCGUAAAACUCUGUUAUUAGGGAAGAACAAAUGUGUAAGUAACUAUGCACGUCUUGACGGUACCUAAUCAGAAAGCCACGGCUAACUACGUG